UGGUGGAGUGAUUUGUCUGGUUAAUUCCGUUAACGAACGAGACCUCGACCUGCUAACUAGUUGCUAUUAUGCUUGUCAUAGUAGAGACUUCUUAGAGGGACUAUCGGAUUCUCAGCCGAUGGAAGUACGAGGCAAUAACA
rnacentral:rRNA from 1 species